GGCUUCAUGGUCUAGUGGCAUGAUUCGAUGUUUGGGUUAUAGCGUGCCUAAAUUCAUCGAGGUCCCGCGUUCGAAUCGCGGUGGAGCCC